rnacentral:tRNA from 1 species
GGAUGGGUAGCUCAGGGGUAGAGCAAUGGACUUUUAAUCCACUGGUCGUGGGUUCGAAUCCCACUCCGUCCACCA